UGGGGAAUAUUGGACAAUGGGCGGAAGCCUGAUCCAGCAAUGCCGCGUGUGUGAAGAAGGCCUGCGGGUUGUAAAGCACUUUCAGUUGGGAGGAAAAAGUGAAGGAUAAUACCCUUCAAAAUUGACAUUACUAACAGAAGAAGCACCGGCUAACUCUGUGCCAGCAGCCGCGGUAAUACAGAGGGUGCAAGCGUUAAUCGGAAUUACUGGGCGUAAAGCGCACGUAGGUGGUUUGACAAGUUGGGUGUGAAAUCCCCGGGCUUAACCUGGGAACUGCAUUCAAAACUAUCAAGCUAGAGUAGAGUAGAGGGAAGUGGAAUUUCCGGUGUAGCGGUGAAAUGCGUAGAUAUCGGAAGGAACACCAGUGGCGAAGGCGGCUUCCUGGACUCAUACUGACACUGAGGUGCGAAAGCGUGGGGAGCAAACAGGAUUAGAUACCCCGGUAGUCC
rnacentral:rRNA from 1 species